rnacentral:rRNA from 1 species
UACGAAGGGGGCUAGCGUUGCUCGGAAUCACUGGGCGUAGAGCGCACGUAGGCGGCUUUUUAAGUCAGGGGUGAAAUCCUGGAGCUCAACUCCAGAACUGCCUUUGAUACUGAAGAUCUUGAGUUCGGGAGAGGUGAGUGGAACUGCGAGUGUAGAGGUGAAAUUCGUAGAUAUUCGCAAGAACACCAGUGGCGAAGGCGGCUCGCUGGCCCGAUACUGACGCUGAGGCACGAAAGCGUGGGGAGCAAACAGG